AUUGAACGCUGGCGGAAUGCUUUACACAUGCAAGUCGAACGGUAGAGGGGGCAACCCCUCGAGAGUGGCGAACGGGUGAGUAAUAUAUCGGAACGUGCCCAGUCGUGGGGGAUAACGUAGCGAAAGUUACGCUGAUACCGCAUACGAUCUAAGGAUGAAAGCGGGGGAUCGCAAGACCUCGCGCGAUUGGAGCGGCCGAUAUCAGAUUAGGUAGUUGGUGGGUACAGGCUCACCAAGCCAACGAUCUGUAGCUGGUCGGAGAGGACGACCAGCCACACUGGAACUGAGACACGGUCCAGACUCCUACGGGAGGCAGCAGUGGGGAAUUUUGGACAAUGGACGCAAGUCUGAUCCAGCCAUUCCGCGUGCAGGAUGAAGGCCCUCGGGUUGUAAACUGCUUUUGUACGGAACGAAAAGGUCUCUCUUAAUACGGGGGACUCAUGACGGUACCGUAAGAAUAAGCACCGGCUAACUACGUGCCAGCCGCCGCGGUAAUAC
rnacentral:rRNA from 1 species